GGCUUUCUGGCCCUAUACUGACGCUGAGACGCGAGAGCGUGGGUAGCAAACAGGAUUAGAUACCCUGGUAGUCCACGCUGUAAACGAUGUUCACUAGGUG
rnacentral:rRNA from 1 species